AGGGUCUCUUCUGGAGAUUCCUUCUCUGGAGUUUUGCAGUGAACCCAGGAUAACAGAGAACUGAUUGCAAGCAUUUUAUAUACUGCUAUUUAGAGGAGGUAUUCAGUAAUGCAUCCCAUUGGUGAUAGCUGAACUUACUGGUUGACUGCAAUCAUCUACUUUAUUCUUGAAAGAUUGGCAGUCAGUGCACCACUGACUGCCACUGGUGGUGAGGGAGAUCCUGGUGACAGUGAAGGCCUGUUCACUUCUGCUGAAGCAACUGUAGAAGUUGAGUAUCUGAAAAGCAGAACAGAGCUGGGCAUGUCUUCUCUCUAUGUUUGAAGGUACUCUAAAAAGUAGUUACCGUUUCAUGACCAUUAAAAAGGAGGAAAUAGCUGAUCCUUACAUCCUGUUUUUCAUGCUUGGAUGAGGAACUCUUGUACUCAACUCUUAAACACCAGCAGCUGCUCAGGAAAAAUUUGCUAACUUUCAGGAAUUCAUCAUGUUGCACCAUUAAGACUUGCGGUUUCUUCCAAAGAAAUCAGCCAGGAAUUAGAUGAACUUCUGCUCUAUCCUCUGUACUUGUGAAAGCAGGAUAUCCACAUACUCAGCUACUAGAUUCCUUACUACGUGCUUUCUUUCCUGGAAUUCUUUCAAGCAAAGGAAUCACAAUGUAUUUUUAUAUAUCCAAUGGAAAUCUGACAGAAGAUAAGGCUUAAUGUUGAAGUCUCAGUUCUAAAGGACAAAGUCAUUCAUCAGUGGGAAAAGGCAAUUAUCUGCAGAGGUGAAGACUCUCCUGUUGGGACAAAAGACUCUACAAGCUGGAAACCAGUUGUUUCAAAGCCUGUUCCUCCAGGAGGAACAGCAAUGCCAAGAAAAUUAUCUUAAUGGUUUUUUUCCUCAUGUUUGGGUCGACACAAUUCUAUCCUAGCUACAUUUACUGGCAAACUUACUAAAUAAACAAGGCUGCCCAAACUCUCCAUCUCAUGUGCUGGUUGAAAGUGGAAGUUUGAUUACACACGCCCUUGUUAUGGACUGAUCAUUAUCUCUUUGUAUAUGGUUUGUGGGGUGGUAUUUUUGUGAGGGGAAAAAAAGGGUGAACAGAAGUACAUGCAAAUAGAGUCUGCAGGUUUUCUGUCUUCUGCCAAGUAAUUGUUAGCAGUCUAUCCACUGGAGGUUCUAUUGCUUCAUUUUAAUUGUUGGGAAAACAAUAUUUAGACAAUGUGCACCUCUCCAUGGUGAAAAGCAAAAGGAGUCAGAAGCAGGCAAAGAAAUAAGUAACCUUCAAGAAAUGUGUGGAUGAAAACUAUAUUGGAGUCAAAUUUGCCCAAGCUGAGGCACAGCAAUAUGGAGUAUUAUGACUGGAACAUUUACAUGCUCCAGAUACAUCCUUUAUAUAGGCCAUUGAAAUGGCAUAAAAAUCUGAGGGGACCAAGCUAGACAAAGUUAUUUCAUCUCACCACAGUCACUUAUUUCACAUAAAUGACAGUAUUCUGAAUGGAAUUUUUGUUUGGAACAAAGAGCACAUAGCAUGAGGAGUACUUUUGUGAUUCUGCAAUGCAAAUCUUCUAAGUGAAUUAUUUCACAAUCUUUACCAUGAAACAUAUUUUAAAU